UAAAGUUACUCUAUUUUUAAAAAAAAUUACACUGUUUUAAAUGAAAGUUGCAUUCUUUGAGACAGAAAUUAUAUUUUUUGGGAUUAGAUUGUUAAGUAUUGUGUGUUUGCAAGUUUCGUGAAGUGAAUCGGAGUCUUGAAGAAUCGGUGCGUGUCGUCUAAGAUUGAAGAAUUCAAGAUUUUGAAGAAGUUGGAAAAUAACUCACGAUGUGAAUCACGACGUAAAGGUAAUGUGUUAAUUCAUGUUAUGGUGAUUCAAACUUAGUUAUAGGCAUUAGAAUCAUUUUUAUAAAUAUUUAGCUGAUUAGAAAGUGUUUUGGAACUCUGCGA
rnacentral:lncRNA from 1 species